GCCGCGGUAAGACAGAGGGUGCGAACGUUGCUCGGAAUCACUGGGCGUAAAGCGCGCGUAGGCGGACGGGUAAGUCGGUUGUGAAAUCCCUGGGCUCAACCUGGGAACUGCAUUGGAUACUGGCUUACUAGAGUGCGGUAGAGGGUAGCGGAAUUCCCGGUGUAGCAGUGAAAUGCGUAGAUAUCGGGAGGAACAUCCGUGGCGAAGGCGGCUACCUGGACCAGCACUGACACUGAGGCACGAAAGCGUGGGGAGCAAACAG
rnacentral:rRNA from 1 species